rnacentral:rRNA from 1 species
GACGAACGCUGGCGGCGUGCUUAACACAUGCAAGUCGAACGGAAAGGCCCUGCUAUUGUGGGGUGCUCGAGUGGCGAACGGGUGAGUAACACGUGAGUAAACUGCCCUUGACUUUGGGAUAACUUCAGGAAACUGGGGCUAAUACCGGAUAGGAGCUCCUGCUGCAUGGUGGGGGUUGGAAAGUUUCGGCGGUUGGGGAUGGACUCGCGGCUUAUCAGCUUGUUGGUGGGGUAGUGGCUUACCAAGGCUUUGACGGGUAGCCGGCCUGAGAGGGUGACCGGCCACAUUGGGACUGAGAUACGGCCCAGACUCCUACGGGAGGCAGCAGUGGGGAAUAUUGCACGAUGGGCGGAAGUCUGAUGCAGCAACGCCGCGUGCGGGAUGACGGCCUUCGGGUUGUAAACCGCUUUCGCCUGUGACGAAGCGUGAGUGACGGUAAUGGGUAAAGAAGCACCGGCUAACUACGUG